rnacentral:lncRNA from 1 species
UCUUUUCACAGCAGGGAGUACUUUCUUGGUGCUUGGACACUCAUAUGUACACAUGCAUACACCAAAGACAUGCAUGUGCCCAAUAUGCUAUGUGCAUGCACCAAAUAUGCACACGUGUGACAAACACAGGCCACAGAGGCACGUACCAGAGAUGCACACGCAUGCAAAGCACACACCAAACAUAUAUGUGUAUACACACUGCUCAUGCACCACACACUCAUACAGACCACACAUGCACACCUGUGUACACUCAGAACACACAAGUUCGCACGCACCAGAAGCAAGUGCUGUGGUCCCUUUCAGAUCUCAGCUCAGGCGUCUUUUCCCAAGGCGGGACGUCCCUGGCCCACGGCCCACUUACGGGUCUUCUUUAAAGCUCCACGUUCUUAGUUUAUACAGCCUUAAAGACGGGUUGUUUGACGAGUCCCUCUUGCUAUUAACUAUAAAUCCACAAGGACAGUAGCUGUGUCUGCUUCCCCACCGUUUUAUGCCUCCUGUUUUACACAGUGCCUGCCCUGUGUCAGACCUUAUGAGUGAGAAAAGGAACGACCAAACUUGGAUGCUCUCCUGGACCAGAAUUCUAAAAAAAAAAAA